rnacentral:rRNA from 1 species
AACGAACGCUGGCGGCAUGCCUAACACAUGCAAGUCGAACGAGACCUUCGGGUCUAGUGGCGCACGGGUGCGUAACGCGUGGGAACCUGCCCUUAGGUUCGGAAUAACUCCCCGAAAGGGGUGCUAAUACCGGAUAAUGUCUUCGGACCAAAGAUUUAUCGACUUUGGAUGGGCCCGCGUUGGAUUAGCUAGUUGGUAGGGUAAAAGCCUACCAAGGCGACGAUCCAUAGCUGGUCUGAGAGGAUGAUCAGCCACACUGGGACUGAGACACGGCCCAGACUCCUACGGGAGGCAGCAGUGGGGAAUGUUGCACAAUGGGCGGAAGCCUGAUCCAGCAAUGCCGCGUGAGUGAUGAAGGCCUUAGGGUUGUAAAGCUCUUUUACCCGGGAUGAUAAUGACAGUACCGGGAGAAUAAGCUCCGGCUAACUCCGUG